rnacentral:rRNA from 1 species
UGAGGAAUAUUGGUCAAUGGACGCAAGUCUUAACCAGCCAAGUAGCAUGCAGGACGACGGCCCUAUGGGUUGUAAACUGCUUUUAUGUGGGAAUAAAGUCAGGGACGUGUCCCUGUUUGCAUGUACCACAGGAAAAAGCAUCGGCUAACUCCGUGCCAGCAGCCGCGGUAAUACGGAGGAUGCGAGCGUUAUCCGGAUUUAUUGGGUUUAAAGGGUGCGCAGGCGGCGCGCCAAGUCAGCGGUCAAAGUUCCGGGCUCAACCCGGUGUCGCCGUUGAAACUGGCGUGCUCGAGUGCGUGCGAGGAAGGCGGAAUGCGUUGUGUAGCGGUGAAAUGCAUAGAUAUGACGCAGAACUCCGAUUGCGAAGGCAGCUUUCCAGCGCGCUACUGACGCUGAGGCACGAAAGCGUGGGGAUCGAACAGGAUUAGAUACCCUGGUAGU